UACAGAGGGUGCGAGCGUUGUUCGGAAUUACUGGGCGUAAAGCGCGCGCAGGCGGCUUCCUAAGUCCGUUGGUGAAAGACCGGGGCUCAACCCCGUGUCAGCCAUGGAUACUGGGAGGCUGGAGACAGGUAGAGGCAAGCGGAAUUCCGGGUGUAGCGGUGGAAUGCGUAGAGAUCCGGAAGAACACCGGAGGCGAAGGCGGCUUGCUGGACCUGGUCUGACGCUGAGGCGCGAAAGCGUGGGGAGCGAACAGG
rnacentral:rRNA from 1 species